rnacentral:rRNA from 1 species
AUUGAACGCUGGCGGCAUGCCUUACACAUGCAAGUCGAACGGCAGCACGGGUGCUUGCACCUGGUGGCGAGUGGCGAACGGGUGAGUAAUACAUCGGAACAUGUCCUGUAGUGGGGGAUAGCCCGGCGAAAGCCGGAUUAAUACCGCAUACGAUCUGCGGAUGAAAGCGGGGGACCUUCGGGCCUCGCGCUAUAGGGUUGGCCGAUGGCUGAUUAGCUAGUUGGUGGGGUAAAGGCCUACCAAGGCGACGAUCAGUAGCUGGUCUGAGAGGACGACCAGCCACACUGGGACUGAGACACGGCCCAGACUCCUACGGGAGGCAGCAGUGGGGAAUUUUGGACAAUGGGCGAAAGCCUGAUCCAGCAAUGCCGCGUGUGUGAAGAAGGCCUUCGGGUUGUAAAGCACUUUUGUCCGGAAAGAAAUCCUUGGCUCUAAUACAGUCGGGGGAUGACGGUACCGGAAGAAUAAGCACCGGCUAACUACGU